rnacentral:rRNA from 1 species
GGCUAACUCCGUGCCAGCAGCCGCGGUAAUACGGAGGGUGCAAGCGUUGUUCGGAAUUACUGGGCGUAAAGCGCGUGUAGGCGGCCUGGCAAGUCGGAUGUGAAAGCCCUCGGCUUAACCGGGGAAGGGCAUCCGAAACUGCCUGGCUUGAGUACGGGAGAGGGAGGCGGAAUUCCCAGUGUAGAGGUGAAAUUCGUAGAGAUUGGGAGGAACACCAGUGGCGAAAGCGGCAUCCUGGACCGAUACUGACGCUGAGACGCGAAAGCGUGGGUAGCAAACAGGAUUAGAUACCCUGGUAGUCCACGCUGUAAACGAUGGGCACUAGGUGUGGGGGGUAUCCACUCCUCCCGUGCCGCAGCUAACGCAUUAAGUGCCCCGCCUGGGGAGUACGGCCGCAAGGCUAAAACUCAAAGGAAUUGACGGGGGCCCGCACAAGCAGCGGAGCAUGUGGUUUAAUUCGACGCAACGCGAAGAACCUUACCUGGGCUUGACAUGUAGGUCAUACCCGUGGAAACACGGGGUCAGUUCGGCUGGACCUUCACAGGUGGUGCAUGGCUGUCGUCAGCUCGUGUCGUGAGAUGUUGGGUUAAGUCCCGCAACGAGCGCAACCCCCGUCGCAUGUUGCCAGCAUUUAGUUGGGGACUCAUGCGAGACUGCCGGUGACAAACCGGAGGAAGGUGGGGAUGACGUCAAGUCAUCAUGCCCCUUAUGUCCAGGGCUACACACGUGCUACAUUGGCGCAUACAAAGGGUUGCAAUACCGUGAGGUGGAGCGAAUCCCAUAAAGUGCGUCUCGGUUCGGAUUGGAGGCUGAAACUCGCCUCCAUGAAGGUGGAGUUGCUAGUAAUCGCGGAUCAGCAAUGCCGCGGUGAAUACGUUCCCGGGCCUUGUACACACCGCCCGUCACACCACGGAAGCAAGCAACACCCGAAGCCGGUGGCCUAACCCUUCUGGGAGGGAGCCGUCGAAGGUGGGGCUCGUGACUGGGGUGAAGUCGUAACAAGGUAGCCGUACCGGAAGGUGCGGCUG